rnacentral:rRNA from 1 species
GACGAACGCUGGCGGCGUGCUUAACACAUGCAAGUCGAACGGAAAGGCCCUGCUUGCCGGGUACUCGAGUGGCGAACGGGUGAGUAACACGUGGGUGAUCUGCCCUGCACUUCGGGAUAAGCCUGGGAAACUGGGUCUAAUACCGGAUAUGACCUUCCAUGUAGUGUGGGGGGUGGAAAGAUUUAUCGGUGUGGGAUGAGCCCGCGGCCUAUCAGCUUGUUGGUGGGGUAAUGGCCUACCAAGGCGUCGACGGGUAGCCGGCCUGAGAGGGUGGACGGCCACAUUGGGACUGAGAUACGGCCCAGACUCCUACGGGAGGCAGCAGUGGGGAAUAUUGCACAAUGGGCGGAAGCCUGAUGCAGCGACGCCGCGUGGGGGAUGACGGCCCUCGGGUUGUAAACCUCUUUCGACAGGGACGAAGCUUCGGUGACGGUACCUGUAUAAGAAGCACCGGCUAACUACGUG